rnacentral:tRNA from 1 species
GGUUCGGUGACUGAAGUUAAGUGGUAGAUUUUUAAUCUAUUUAUGAGGAUUGCCUCUCGGACUA